UGGGGAAUCUUGCGCAAUGGGCGAAAGCCUGACGCAGCAACGCCGCGUGCGGGAAGAAGGCUUUCGGGCUGUAAACCGCUUUCAGCAGGAACGAAAAUGACGGUACCUGCAGAAGAAGGAGCGGCCAACUAUGGGCCAGCAGCCGCGGGGAUACAUAGGCUUCAAGCGUUGUCCGGAUUUAUUGGGCGUAAAGAGUUCGUAGGCGGUCAAGUAAGGCGGGUGUGAAAAUUGUGGGCUUAACCCAGGGAC
rnacentral:rRNA from 1 species